rnacentral:lncRNA from 1 species
UUUGUAAAUAAAUUCUGAAUUUCACUCAUUGGUAGACAUGCUACAAUGUACGUUAAAGACCAUUGUAUGUACCAUGGUACAUUGAUUUUUAUAAAAUAAAAAAUAAAAAAUGUAGCAUGACAUUGUUUGACUGGAAGAUAUGCGUCUGUAUUUCAGCUCCUUGUAUGCCUCGUAACAUUCGGGCACUCAUGGACUGUCAGUCUGGUGUGGCUAUAUUGUCGUGGCAGUCAAGCACUGGGGCGUUGCAAUACACAGCCACAGCAGUAAGUGAGUCUGGCCAUGUACUCAGCUGUGAAAAUAACUUAACUAACUGUGAGCUGACCGGACUGGCCUGUGGUGAGAGCUACAACAUCACUGUGUUAGCAGAAGGACAGACCUGUAGCAGCACUGCAACCAUGAGUGGACACCUGAAUACAGGUCCUUGCCCACCUCAGAAUGUUGAAGUGCAGUAUGGCGUGUCUAUUGGCCAGCUGUCAUGGGACAGAAGUAAAGGUGCUUCCAUGUACACAGCACAGGCUGCCACUGAUCUGGGAUCAGUGCUGUCCUGCUCCACCAGUGACACCUCCUGUGCCCUCUAUAAUGUGUCCUGCAGUCAGACAUAUGACAUCACUGUGACAGCACACAACAACGUCUGCCAAGGAGCUGCUGUGUCUGCAUCAACUACUUUAAACACAGGUUCAUUAAAUUUGCAACUUUACCAGUGA